AUGUGUGAAGAUUAUUGGUCUGCGGCACGGGAAUUAGACAACAUAGCCUACAUGGAUGAAAAGUGGUUCAACAUGACUGGGGAGGUGAACAACUACUAUUUGCUUCCCGAAGAACCCGACCCCUUGCGCACCUUGCAUCAUAAGGAUAGCAUCGCCAAGGUGAUGUUUCUCGCAGCCGUGGCUAAACCAAGAUACGACAAAGGUGGUGAGGUCACUUUUGAUGGAAAGCUCGGCAUUUGGGCUUUUGUCACAGAGUCUCCUGCUCAAAGAACCAGUGAAAACAGAGAUAAAGGGACGCUCGAGCUCAAAUCAUUGAAAGUCACACGAGAUGUAAUGAGGUAUUACAUGUGUGAGAAACUUAUUCCUGCGAUCCAAGAGCGCUAG
rnacentral:rRNA from 1 species